rnacentral:lncRNA from 1 species
ACCCAUGAUAUCUCGUCUACAUUUUCCUUUUUUUAAAUGUCACCGUAUUUUUUCCACAAAAUUUUUGGAAGAGAUACCUGUCUAUGCAUUUCUCUGUCACAAUAUCCAUUUAGUCUCAUCUAUUUGGAAUGGUUUACCUUUAACGACUGGGUUAUAGAAUGACUAAGUUGCAUCUGGAUAAUGAUCCGGCUAUACUAACUUUGUUGCUAAGAUGUUAUGAACCGCAACCAAUCAUUGCGGAGACGGUUCGGUCUUCGGACCCGUUGCUCGACAAGGACAGAUGAUUUCCUCAAACCAUAAAAGAGGAAUAGCAAUACACUCAAGAUGUAACAAACGAGUUUUGCCGUGGAAGUAGGCAGCUGAAUAAUUGAAGAACUAUGGUCCCCGGGCGUGUCGGAUCGUCUAGCCGACGGAUCAAUACUGGCCGAAAUGCUACCUGUGUACAAUGAGUUUUUUUUUGCAGGAGUCAUGCUGCAUUAGUGAUUGCUUGGUAGCGCAGUACUCCUGUUAUUUAUCGAUGUAUUUAAGUCAUGGAUGUGUCAGCAGCAGUAUAUUUUAUGGUGUUGAAGAAAAUACGUACCUAAUAGAUCGCACAACGUUUUUAUACUGUAUACAAAAUGUUUUUAUGGUGUACACAUUAAUUAAAGUGCUGAUGGUUUUGUAAAUGA